UAUAUACUCCUUCCGUUCCAAAUUACUUGUCGCAGAAAUAGUUAUAUCUAGAACUGAAAUACAUCUAGAUACAUCCAUACUUGCGAUAAAUAACUCGGAACGGAGGGAGUAAUAG
rfam:Triticum urartu cultivar G1812 contig726254, whole genome shotgun sequence.